CCGGGUGGCUGGGCGACCGCUGGCCCUGGAGUGAUCCAAGGCUGGAGGAAAGUCCGGGCUCCACGGGAAUACGGUGCCGGUCAACGACCGGCGGGGGUCAAACCCCAGGGACAGUGCCACAGAAAGCAAACCGCCUCGGCGUGGAAGCACCCCGAGGCAAGGGUGAAAGGGUGGGGUAAGAGCCCACCGCAUCCACGGCAACGUGGGUGGCAUGGUAAACCCCACCGGGAGCAAGGCCGAAUAGGGGUGGCCGGCAGUGCGGCGCGGGGUUCGCCCCGUGGCGCGGAUGCAGGGGCGUUCCCGCCCCGCCGCCCGGGUUGGCCGCGAGAAGCCUGUGGCGACACAGGCUCCAGAGGAAUGGUCGUCCAUCGCUUUCGGGCGGGGACAGAACCCGGCUUACAGGCCGCCCGGCACC
rnacentral:RNase_P_RNA from 1 species